rnacentral:rRNA from 1 species
GACGAACGCUGGCGGCGUGCUUAACACAUGCAAGUCGAACGGAAAGGCCCUGCUCUUGCGGGGUGCUUGAGUGGCGAACGGGUGAGUAACACGUGAGUAACCUGCCCUUGACUUUGGGAUAACUCCAGGAAAAUGGGGCUAUUACCGGAUAGGAGCUCCUGCUGCACGGUGGGGGUUGGAAAGAUUCGGCGGUUGGGGCUGGACUCGCGGCUUAUGCGCUUGUUGGUGGGGUAGUGGCUUACAAAGGUUUUGACGGGUAGCCGGCCUGAGAGGGUAACCGGCCACAUUGGGACUGAGAGACGGCGCAGACGCCUACGGGAGGCAGCAGUGGGGAAUAUUGCACAAUGGGGGGAAGCGUGAUGCGGCGACGCCGCGUGCGGGAUGACGGCCUUCGGGGUAUAAACCGCUUUCGCCUGUGACGAGGCGUGAGUGACGGUAGUGGGUAAAGAAGCACCGGCUAACUACGUG